UGGGGAAUAUUGCACAAUGGGCGCAAGCCUGAUGCAGCCAUGCCGCGUGUAUGAAGAAGGCCUUCGGGUUGUAAAGUACUUUCAGCGGGGAGGAAGGUGUUGAGGUUAAUAACCUCAGCAAUUAACGUUACCCGCAGAAGAAGCACCGGCUAACUCCGUGCCAGCAGCCGCGGUAAUACGGAGGGUGCAAGCGUUAAUCGGAAUUACUGGGCGUAAAGCGCACGCAGGCGGUCUGUCAAGUCGGAUGUGAAAUCCCCGGGCUCAACCUGGGAACUGCAUUCGAAACUGGCAGGCUAGAGUCUUGUAGAGGGGGGUAGAAUUCCAGGUGUAGCGGUGAAAUGCGUAGAGAUCUGGAGGAAUACCGGUGGCGAAGGCGGCCCCCUGGACAAAGACUGACGCUCAGGUGCGAAAGCGUGGGGAGCAAACA
rnacentral:rRNA from 1 species